UACGGAAGGCAGCAGUGGGGAAUAUUGCACAAUGGGCGAAAGCCUGAUGCAGCUAUGCCGCGUGUAUGAAGAAGGCCUUAGGGUUGUAAAGUACUUUCAUCGGGGAGGAAAAAACAAAACUAAUAAUUUUAUUUCUUGACGUUACCCGAAAAAGAAGCACCGGCUAACUCCGUGCCAGCAGCCGCGGUAAUACGGAGGGUGCUAGCGUUAAUCAGAAUUACUGGGCGUAAAGAGCACGUAGGUGGUUUUUUAAGUCAGAUGUGAAAUCCCUGGGCUUAACCUAGGAACUGCAUUUUGAAACUGAAAUACUAGAGUAUCGUAGAGGGAGGUAGAAUUCUAGGUGUAGCGGUGAAAUGCGUAGAUAUCUGGAGGAAUACCUGUGGCGAAAGCGGCCUCCUAAACGAAUACUGACACUGAGGUGCGAAAAGCGUGGGGAGCAAACAGGGAUUAGAUA
rnacentral:rRNA from 1 species